GCAUCGUUUGUCUGCGGAAGGCGGUCAGUCUGCAAAACUGAUGAUGUUGGUUCGACUCCAACACGGUGCU
rnacentral:tRNA from 1 species